CUCCUACGGGACGCAGCAGUGGGGGAUAUUGCACAAUGGGGGGAACCCUGAUGCAGCGACGCCGCGUGGGUGAAGAAGCGCCUCGGCGCGUAAAGCCCUGUCAGCAGGGAAGAAGAUGACGGUACCUGAAGAAGAAGCCCCGGCUAACUACGUGCCAGCAGCCGCGGCAAUACGUAGGGGGCAAGCGUUAUCCGGAUUUACUGGGUGUAAAGGGGGCGCAGACGGCGAUGCAAGCCAGGAGUGAAAGCCCGGGGCUCAACCCCGGGACUGCUCGUGGAACGGCGUGGCUGGAGUGCAGGAGGGGG
rnacentral:rRNA from 1 species